GGGUUUGUCCUGGGCCAGCUGCUCCCUGGGGAAUCAAACGGGCUGUGGGCGGGCGGCGUCGGAGGGCAGGUUCAGCCCCCGCGAUGCAAUGCAGAUGCCCCGGGGCUGGGGCUGUGGAGGCACUUGUCUGGCUGUGAGCUGCGGCAAUGGGAGGGGGCGAUGCUCUAGGGGUGGGGGAGGCAAUCGGUGCCCCUGCAGACCCCUUCUGCCUCAUCUCUGCCCCCCCCCCGGGGGGCCGGAAGGGGGUGGGACUCACUGCUGGGCCCCUGCAGCAUUUGCACUUGCCUGGAAAGCCCCGUGUCCUGGAGUCAGGGGACGACACAGCAGCUUUGGGCUCCAGCCUCUGCGGCUGCAGAGCGCAUCUCGAGGUCCUGCUGCAGGGGCAGGGCCCCGGAGGCAAAUCAAGGGCAGCCCAGACUGCUCCCUCGUGGGGUUUUAAGCCGACUUUGUGCUCUUUUCCGGCGGGGGUCCUGAUCUGCGAAUGCCGGGGAGGGGGUGGGAAGGGUGACAGGGCGGCCUCACCCCCCCCAGCUCCAUGCCCAACCCAGAGGUCCCUGGGGAUGGCUUUUCCCCUCCCAGACAACGUGCAAUAUCCCCGGGGAGCCCGAUCCUGAACCAGGUGCGUCCCAUCUCUCAGCAGCCUCUGAAUCAGGCCCCUCAAAGCGCCUCGGGCCCGGGACCCCUGUCCUCAGGGUGCUGCGGCAAAGAGAUUGCAGCCCUCCGGCAGGCACCUGCAUCCCCUCUCUGCUCCGCGGGCCCCUUCCUUUGUCUGCUGCUAGGAAAGCUCACGUCUCGGCCCCACUCCUCUGAGCCCAGGGGCUGCAUUGCACCCCGCUGCAGGAUUCCCACGCCCCGCUCAGCAUGGCACAAAGCACCAGGGCCGACGAACCUGGGGUGGAUCCGGUCCCAGCCCCGCCAGCUUGAGGCCGGGAAGUGAGGCCCGGGACCCAGCCUGACCUCACCUGGGAGUGCUGCGGGGAGAGAGGGGGCGGCCGAGUGUAAGGGAGCAUUAAUGGAGCUGGAUUUGCCUCCCGGCUGAUAACCUACUCUGGGCGCAGAGCCUGGCGCGCGGCAGCCAGAGCUUCGCAUGCAGCUGGAGCUGCCUGCAGGUUAAUUUAGCGCAGGCUGGAGUAGCGGGGGGUGUUUGAACCAGCCUCUCUGCAGAAACCAAGGGGCUGAGCAACACCCCAGCUUCGCAGGCACCAGACCCUGGGGGAUGGACCCCCACAGAAACCCUCCCAGCCUCUUUUUUUCUUUUCCCCCCUCCUUGUUCACAUCGCGCGGCGGGAAUUGGGGCUGACAGCAGGCAGCUGGCGCGCAGCGGCCCUCCUCUCCUCCCCGGUCCUGCUAGGAACCGGGUGCGUUUUCACUGCCGACUCAUUUGAAUAAUCAAAUCAGACAAUGGGCUGACACCGAGCCGGUGGGGGAUGGUGGGGAGCGCAUCUCUCCAGCCUGGCCCUGCCUCGCCGGGAGAUCUUCGCUGCCCGUCGGUGGCGGCUGCCGCAGUGUCCCGAGAGCCCCUUUCCCUUUGGGGGCAAGCAGACGCCGGCCCCUGGGGAAGGCCGGGGGGCUUCUGAGGGUUCCCCGUUGCCUUGUGCAUCUUAGGGGGGGCAAAUUGAUGCCUUUCACCGUCUCCCCCUGGACAUGGCUUUGCAACCAGGAGGCAGCCAGACCCAGGAGGGAUAUAUAGGGCCCAUCAUCUGGAGUGGGGCGGGGGGUGGAACAACCAAGCCCCUUUUUGCUCCAUUGCUCCCUGCGAUGCUCACACUGCGUCAGGUCCUCUGCGUGUCUGGGGAGAGGGCUACACCAGCCCCCCCCCAACCCCCCCAUCCACACACAACACACAUGCACAUACACACACGCCGAUCACCGGUCCCUUUUUGUGCGCUAACCUUUGCCGGCGGCGUGUGCUGCUACUUCUCUGCACUGUGUGGCAGAUGGUCGCUGCAGAGAUUUCAGUGCAAGCUAUUUAUAUUUGGAGCUGAUCUUUCCCACUGUAUUUUACUUCUGGGUGUAAAUAAGUGGUGGGGGGGGAGGGUUGAGGGGGCUCGCGCAAGGCACGGGUUUUCAUCUUUCAAUAUUUGCAUGGCAUGUUGUAGGUGGGGGAGGGGGGAGCAUAAUAUCCAUAGGUUCGUUACCGGGUCGUUUGGUUUUAUCUUUUGUUUUCCAAGCUUGUGAGUUUAAAACACGCACCCCGACACAGAAAGCAGGAACGCGAUGAGGAGAGGCUGGGAACGCCAGAGAAGCCCCAGCCGGAGACUGCUAGCAGGUGGAUCAGGGGAGCCUUUAUAGCUGCUCUCCAUCUCACAAAGCAGCCUUGGCAAGAGCGUCGCCCAGCUGUUUGGUGUCUAAGCGCUGUCCUAUUCCACCCAGCUCGAGGUGCUGAGCACCGGUCCCCAAAGCAGGUGCCGUGUGG